GCCUGCUCCUCAGUCUCCAGAUGCCAGGGCAGACAAGCACACAGGAGCCAGUUCCUCUCUGCUCAGCAUGAGGUCUGUAAUACGGUUCACUUUCUGGUCUGUGUGUGUCUCCUCUUUGUGUGCUUUUGUGUCUUAUUGUCUGAGAGAUGACACCAUAGAACUCCCCGGGAAGGCGCCCUGCAGAAGGCACUUUCAAAGUCAGCAGAAUCUACCUGAGCAUGACCGAGGCUGGCUUGGGAGCAAGUUGCAUUGGCUUUUUCUCCUCGUUGUGCUGUUUGUGAUACAGAUGUUUCCAGGACACAGUGACGAGAGUACUGUGGAGACUCUUCCUGCCCUCCGGGGCAGUUCACUUGGCUCUUCGGGAAAGAAAAAGAAAAAGGCUUCCCCCCAAAAAGACUAUAUGUUCGAUACCUUAAACCAGCUUGAGACGGACCUUGUGAAGUUUGUAUCCAGGGCGCGGAAUCUGAAACUCGCCAUGGCAACCGGCAGUAAGCUCAGUCUUCCCAGUUUUGAGGCACUUGCUGAUAAACACAAUAACAUCACACUAUAUGAGCUAUGGGGCGACGAAGACUUCGAUGAAGACUCUGAGUAAAUAAAUAUGUGUAUCAAAGUAGAAGAGGAAAAGCUGAGUGUGGAUAAAGUGUAUCCAAACUAAUAAAACUGUUCUGAAGCAAAAGCAAAAAAUAAAUAAAACCACAAGAUGGAA